AAAACAUCUUUUCUAGUAAUUUAUUUGAGAUUUAACCUGCCCAAUGAAAUAUAUUUAAUGGCCGCGGUAUUUUGACCGUGCAAAGGUAGCAUAAUCAUUAGUUUAUUAAUUGUAGACUUGUAUGAAUGGUUGGACGAAAUAUUAACUGUCUCAUAUUUAAUUUAUAUAAUUUAAAUUUUGAGUUAAAAUGCUUAAAUUUUUUAAUAGGACGAGAAGACCCUAUAGAUCUUUAUUAUUAAUAUUUUUUUAUUUUUUGGUUUAUAUUUAUAUAAUUGUGUUAGUUUUUUUGUUGGGGUGACAUUGAGAUAUAUAUAACUCUUUAUUGUUUUAUUCAAUAAUUUUUGUUUAAUUGACCUUUUAUUAAUGUUUUAAGAUUUAGAUACCUUAGGGAUAACAGCGUAAUUCUUUUUGAGAGUUCAUAUCGACAAAGGAGAUUGCGACCUCGAUGUUGGAUUAAGAAUAUUAUUAGGUGUAGAUUCUUAAUUAUAUAAGUCUGUUCGACUUUUAAAUUCUUACA
rnacentral:rRNA from 1 species